rnacentral:rRNA from 1 species
CCUCUUCCAGAGUAUCAAUUGGAGGGCAAGUCUGGUGCCAGCAGCCGCGGUAAUUCCAGCUCCAAUAGCGUAUAUUAAAAUUGUUGCAGUUAAAAAGCUCGUAGUUGAAUUUCUGCUACAUUGCCUAUUCUCCUUUACGAGUUUGGGUCUUUUGUGGCUUAUCUGGGUUCGCUUGCGUUCCCGCUGUUUUACUUUGAGAAAAUUAGAGUGCUCAAAGCAGGCUUUUGCCUUGAAUAGUUUAGCAUGGAAUAAUAAAGUAGGACUUUGGUUAUAUUUUGUUGGUUUUAGGUACCAAAGUAAUGGUUAAUAGGAACAGUUGGGGGCAUUCGUAUUUAACUGUCAGAGGUGAAAUUCUUAGAUUUGUUAAAGACGAACUACUGCGAAAGCAUUUGCCAAGGAUGUUUUCAUUAAUCAAGAACGAAAGUUAGGGGAUCGAAGACGAUCAGAUACCGUCGUAGUCCUAACCAACUAUGCCGACUAGAGAUUGGAGGUCGUCAGUUUUUACGACUCCUUCAGCACCUUGAGAGAAAUCAAAGUCUUUGGGUUCUGGGGGGAGUAUG